GUGCAGAAAGCAUGCUGUCCGCUCCCGCUGUCAUGCCCUUACCAGGCACAGAUAUGUUGCCUUCAAGAAUUGUUGAAUGCGGAGUUUUUAAAAAUAGCCCACUCAGUCCAAAAUCAAAGUGCUCUUGUGGUCUUUGGAAAUCUGCUUGAGAAAGUGACCACUUUUGUCACCCUCUGUGGCUCCUCCCAGUGCAGCCUGUGUCCACCUGCUGACCUGCAGGGGGCCCAUGAGCACAGGCACUUGUUUUGGAAGUUAUGGCUUAUUAAGCUGUGGUUCUUGUCUGGUUGUUCUUUCUUUCCAUUGUAGACAGUGCUGAAGUCUUGGGAAUGGCAUUAUUUAGGGCCUUCUUUGUCAGCCACUACUUCAGCUACACUAAACCCUUUAGUGGAGGGUUUGCACGCCGGAGGUAGAAUUCUGUGCUCAAUGAAGUUAAAAUCAGCAGGAGAUACAAUACAUGCACCAUUCAUUUAAUACCAGGCAAAGGGAAAGGGCUGAGACCAGCCUGGAAUCAUGGAAGACUUCCUGGAAAAGGCGUCCCUUAAGCCUGAUCUCAAGUAAAGAUGAAUGAUGAUUUCGUCAGCUGAGAAGGGAAGAAAGACACACAGCUACAGUGGUGUAGGGCAGGACACCUCUGGAACAAGAGUCUUAUGACUUAACUAUCAGCAAGGUAGGUCAGAGAACUUCUUAAUAUCUAGAUCCUACACAAAAGGGCAGGGGAAGCAUCGAGUAGUAUCUCCAGGCUUUAUGGCUGGCUUUGGGCAGGAGGGGUUUGAGUUUUCUCUGGCCUGCCUUGGGGAAGAAGAGUUCUCAUUCCAGGAGAACUUUGGGGGAGAAGGUGGGGUGGGAGAAGGUGAGUGAGAGAUCUUGCUUCUGAGGCGUCCUAGCCAGACUUAGAGACAUGUGCGGGAUGCUCAAAGAAAGCCAGGCAGCCUGCUUUCCCUGCUGGCCACGUGGUGCUGUCCCUUCCUGUCUCCACAGUUGUUUGCGCUUCUGCACCAUUCCCUUUCCCCUUAAUAUUCUAGUGGCUAUUUCCCAAGAACAUAAGCACCUGUCAAAUGAGGGCAUUCACUCUGAUGUAAUACUUUCACCCCAUUUCUGUUGGUUGUCUCAGAUAUGUCCUUUGUGGUGUUUUUCCGGUACCCAGCUGAGCCCAAGACCCAGGCGGCCUUCGAUGCUCCCUGUGAGUAGGUUCAGGUUGGGCAGGUCCAGCCAGAUGCCCCGUGUCCCCAUCAGGAUCCCGGCGGGAGGUGUGCACUAUCACGUGCCCCAGUGUCUUGGUGACAUUCGAUAGGAUCCUCCUGUGAAGGUGCUGGCUGGUUUCUCCACCGUAUCGUUAGUGUUUUUCCUUUUGUAAUCACUAAAUAAUCUGUGAGGAGACAUUUCAAGACUACUUAAACCUCUUAAUCCUCAUCCAGCUGUCACCUGUGUGGCGAUUCCUGGCUGAAUUGAUUUUUACCUGGUGAAUGGGGAUUUUUUUCCAGCUCUAUCAUUUCUCUGUAUUUAGAAGUUGGCAUUCUAAGGAAGAGCCCUUCUUUCCACCCCCUUUAUUUACUUAUUUAUUUCUCUCUCUUUAUAUCAUUAUGAACUCAGGGAUUCUUAAUUUAUGUACUUAUUUUGAUGCUUAAAUUGUCCCAUAUGUGGUCUGUGAGCCACCCUUAACACUGGUUCCUUUGCUCUUUGAUAUGCCUACAUCAUUUUUUUAGUACUUUUUUGUUUUCUAGCAAAAGUUGUUUGAAGCUUACCAUACUGUAUUUUUUUAUUGUGGUAAAAUAUACUUUAACAUUCAAGUUACCUUUUUAAAGCGUGUGGUUCAGUAACAUCAAGUGCAGUUGUUCCUCAGUAUCCACGGGCUAUUGGCUCCAGGACUCCCACAGAUACUAAAAUUCACACUCAAGUCCGUUAUUUUAUAUAAGUGUGAGAUCUUAUAUAACCUAUGCAUACCCUCCCAUAUACUGUAAAUAAUCUCUAGAUGAUUUAUAAUACUUAACAAAUGGUGUGUAAAUAGUUGUUACGCUGUAUUGUUAACAGUACAGUAACAGACCUGUCCAGAUUCUUCCUGGCCUUUUAGGGGAUCACUGACGAAAAAACUUAGUGCAUGUUCAGUACAGACAACCAUCCUUUUUUUGCUUUCAAAUAUUUUUGACCUGAGAUUGGUUGAAUCCAUGGCUGUGGAACCCAUGGACACAGAAGGCCAGUGGUACAUUUACAGUGUUACAGAGCUGUCACCCCUGUCGAUUCCAGAAUUUCUCCAUCAUUCCAUUAGCAGCUCCUCCCCAGCCUGCUCUCCUCCGGACCCCGGCAGCCACUAUCUGCUUCCUGUCUCUGUGGAUUUGUCUACAUUAGAUAGUUCACAGAAAUGGAAUCACAAUAUGUGAGCUUUUGUGUCUGGCUUCUUUCACUUAGCGUGCUGUUUUCAAAGUCCAUCCGUGCUGCACCAUACAUCAGCGCUUUAUUCCAUCCGUGCCGCGCCACACGAGCGCUCUAUCCCAUGCGUGCCGCGCCACGCAUCAGCGCUCUAUCCCAUGCGUGCCGCGCCACGCAUCAGCGCUCUAUCCCAUGCGUGCCGCGCCACGCAUCAGCGCUCUAUCCCAUGCGUGCCGCGCCACGCAUCAGCGCUCUAUCCCAUCCGUGGCGCGCCACGCAUCAGCGCUCUAUCCCAUCCGUGCCGCGCCACGCAUCAGCGCUCUAUCCCAUGCGUGCCGCGCCACGCAUCAGCGCUCUAUCCCAUGCGUGCCGCGCCACGCAUCAGCGCUCUAUUCCAUGCGUGCUGCGCCAUACAUCAGCGCUUUAUUCCUUUUCUGGCUGAAUAACAUCGCAUUGUAUCGAUAGGUCACAUCUGGUUUCUCCAUUCACCAAACAUUGGGCAUUUGGGUUAUUUCCACCUUUUGGCCGCUGUGAAUAAUGCUGCUAUGAACAUGGGUGUACAAGUUUUAGUUUGAACACCUGCGGUCACUUCUUUUGGGGUAUAUACCUGGGAGUGGAACUGCUGGGUCAUGCAGUAACUUGAAGUUUAAGUUACUGAGGAAUUGCCGGACUGUUUCCCACAGUGGCUGCAGCAGCUUUUAUUCCAGUUAGCAAUCACGAGAGCUUCCCACCUUCUCACGUACACCUGUGAUCUGCCUCUUUCGUUGUAGCCAUCCUUGUCCAUAUGAGCUGGUCUCUCAUCUUGCCUUGAUUUGCAUUUCCUUGAUGACUGUUGAUGUUGAGCAUCUUUUCAUGUCCUGAUUGACCAUUUGCGUAUCUUCUUUGGAGAAAUGUCUGUUCACGUGCUUUGCCUAGUUUUUAACCGGGCUGUUUAUCUUUUGUUAUUAAGCUAUAAGAGCUCUUUAUAUUCCAAAUGCUAGACCCUUAUCAGAUCUGUGAUUUGCAAGUAUUUUCUCCCAUUCUGUGGGCUGUCUUUUUACUUUCUUGAUAGUGUGCUUUCUACAAAAGUUUUUAAUUAUGGUAAAAUCACAUUUAUUUUCUCUUUUGUAACUUUUGGUGUCAUGUCUGAGAAACCAUUGCCAAAUCAACAUCACAAAAAAUUGACGAGGCCAGGUGCACUGCCUCACACCUGUAAUCUCAGCACUUUGGGAAGCCAAAGAUCACUUGAGCCCAGGAGUUAGGAACAGCCUAGACGACAUGGUAAAGCCCCGUCUCUACAAAAAAUAGAUUAGCUGCAUGUGGUGGUGCCUGCCUACAGACCCAGCCACUCAGGAGGUUGAGGUGGCAGGAUUGCUUGAGUCUGGGAGGUUAAGGCUGCAGUGAGCUGUGAUCAAGCCGCUGUACUCCAUCCUGGGCAACAGAGUGAGAUCCGAGACCGUGUCUCAAAAAAAGAAAAUAAAAUAGCACUAUGUAUUCUCCCAAAAGUUUUAUAGUUUUAGCUCAUAUGUUUCAGUCUUUGACCCAUUUUGGGCCUGGACUGGUAGCUAGCACAUAGUACCCGAACGAUAACAUUAUGAUGAUAACUAUCCUCAUUAAUACCAAUCCAGUCCUAGGAAUGAAUCCCAAGGAGAUGGUUUUUAGGAAAGAUAUGCACUAAGAGGUUUAUCACAAACCAUGGUACUUCUCAAGGCAAAAAGAAAGAAGAGGCUUAUCACAUUAUUGACUUUUAUUUAGGUAUGGUAAUGGCAUAGUAGAUACAUUUCCUAAAAGAGUUCCUGUCCUUUAGAGAUACAGAAAUACCUACAAAUGAAAUGAAAUCGAUGAUAUCGCGCCUGGGAUUUGGUGUCAUUGAAGAUGGGGAGUAGGUGCAGCAGGUGAUGUAUACAUGUGGUUUCAUAGAAAGGUGACUCUUGGGCUGAGUUUUGAAGCAUUAAGAGGAGAUUGCCAAGCAGAUGUGAGGUCAGCAGGAAUUUCUGACAGGGCACAGCUUAGACAGAAACACAGAGAAACUAAAAGGGCACGUCAAGUCUAGAGAGCAGCAGGCAUUUAUGCAGCACCUGCUGGUGCCAUGUACAGUGCUGCAAUGGGGAGUCAGAGAGCCAGAGGCCCUGCCCUGUGAGCCCCUGUCCGGAGUCCACAUUCACACUGUGCUAUAGAUGCUGGUAGAGCUAAGAGGGUGUCAGAGAAGACCUCUCUGAGGAGGCAGUUCUGGAAAUGAGUAGGUUUCAUGAGGGAGAUGGGAUAUGGGAUCCAGCAGAAGAAACCACGUGUGUGAAAGUCUGAGGGGAUGAGAAUGUAUGAAAGACAGUGGAAUGAUCGACUGAACUGGGCCUGGGGGAUGGGAGGGGCACAGGCCAGGUCUGUGAGAUCAGAGGUUAGAAUUUCAUGCUUUCUUUGUCCCAAGAUUUUUGGAAGCCAUCCAGAGACACAGGGAAUGGUGAGCGUGUGGGAGAGGAGGGAUUGGUUUGGAUUUGUGUUCCUGCCCAAAUCUCAUAUUGAAUUGUAAUCACCACUGCUGGGGGAGGGCCCGGGUGGGAAGCGACUGGAUCAUGGGGGCAGAUUUCCCCCUUGCUGUGCUCAUGGUAGUGAGUGAGUUCUCAUGAGAUCUGGUUGUUUAAAAGUAUGUAGCACCUCCCCCUUCUCUCUCUUCCCUGCUCCCGUCAUGUGAAGACGUGCCUGCUUUUUUCCCCUUACCUUCUGCCAUGAUUAAAAGUUUCCUGAGGCCUCCACAGCCAAGCUACUUGUACAGCCUGCAGAACUGUGAGCCAAUUAAACUUUCCUUCUUUAUAAAUUACCCAGUGUCAGGUAUUUCUUUAUAGCAGUGAAAGAAUGGACCCAUACAAGACGUAUAGGUGGAUGCUGAGUCCCGGAGCAUUGGCAUUUGUGGAGUGGACGAGAGCAGGGGGAGGCCACGCCCUGGGCUGUCCAGAGAUGGUCUCCUGAGGCGAAACUGCUGAGCCCUCGCAUGCGCAGCACAGACGCGUCGGAGAUCCCGGGUGCAGUGGACACCAGACAGGAUCAAGCUGAAGAGUGGAGGGUAUGACGGACCAGGAAGGGCAUGCAGAAGUCAGGGAAAGCACCGCGCAUGGGAGAGUCACGCACAGCCUGCCCCUGAGAGGCAUCCGGGAAACACGAGCAGGAUCCGGGCGAUGGGAAAGGCUGGUGCACUGAACGCUGGGAACUUGAAAAUGCAGCAACCACAAUUUUAAGAUCAGUAGAAAGUUUGGAAAAUGUAAGAAAUUCACUCAAGGCCAGGCACAGUCUAAUUCCAGCGUUUUGGGAGGCCGAGGCAGGAGGAGCGCUUGGGCCCAGGAUUUCAAGACCAGCCUGGGCAGCAUGAGAAGACCCAUCUCUACAAAAAAUAAAAAAUAAAUCAACGGGCUUGGUGUCAUGUACCUGUAGUCCCAGCUGCUCGGGACACUGAGGCAGGUGGAUCACUUGCACCUGGGAGAUCCAGCCUGCAGUAAGCUAGGAUCACACCACAACCUGGCUGACAGAGCAAGCCUGUGUUCCAAAAAAGAAAAGAAAUUCACCCAGAAACUAAUCAUAGAAACAACUAACUCGUGCUGCACUUUCUGUGCAGGCCCUGAUGGAGGUGUUUGCCAUCAGCCCCUGCACAGUGCAACGCAAGGGGUUGUGGUGUCACCCUUCACAGAUGAGGAAGCAGGAGCCCCGCUCAUUGCAGGGAACACCAGCCGAGGCCAGGGCCGGGCAUGGCCGGGCUGAGACACAGGAUCUGGCCUCAGACACCUUUUUCUUGACGGCUCCAGUCUUCACUCUGUGCCAUUGGCCCCAGCAAGCCCUGGUAUGUACAGAGACCACGGAAUACAGCUGGUCUGUACUAUGAAACACCAGUGCAGGCAUUAUCUCGUUGACACUGAGAAGCCCCAAAGUUCAAGGAUUGAGGACAUUUUUACAAAUAAUGGAAUCCAGAAAGUAUCAGAAUAUAGAGCUGACCUUUUAAUUCAGCCGUGAAAAA